rnacentral:lncRNA from 1 species
UUUAAGAGUUUAAGCAACAAGGUGGGAACAUCACUGUGGCCAUUCCAGGCCACUUGAAGACAGGUUCUGAAGGAAGGCAGAAGGCUUGUAUCUGGCCAGCUGUGUGUGAUCCCUGCAUAUCCUGGUGUUGGAUGAGGCAGACAGACUUCUGGACAUGGGAUUUGAGGCAAGCAUAAAUACCAUCCUGGAGUUUUUGCCAAAGCAGAGGAGAACAGGCCUUUUCUCUGCCACUCAGAAGCAGGAAGUGGAGAACUUGGGGAGAGUGGGAUGCCGGAACCCUGUCCAGUCUCAGUGAAGAAGGGUGUGGCAGCCAGCAGUGCCCAGAACACCACUCUCCCCUGGAAAACUACUACAUGGUAUGCAAGGCAGAUGAGAAAUUUAAUCAGCUGCUACAUUUUCUUCGCAGUCAUAAGCAAGAGCAACACCUGGUCUUCUUUAGCACUUGCACCUGUGUGGAAUACUACAGGAAGGCUCUGGAGGUGCUGAUGAAGAGUGUGAAGAUUGUGUGCAUCCAUGGAAAGAUGAAAUACGAUCUUCAUGCAAAUUGAAAAUUGCAAUUGUUCUGCAAAUUGCAAAGUGGAAUUUUAGUGUGCACUGAUGUGGUGGCCCAGGAAUCAAUGUUCCUGAAGUAAACUGGGUUUUGCAGUACAAUCGCCCCUACAAUGCAAGUGCCUUUGUGCAGCACUGUAGCCGCACAGCCCUCAUUGGCCACAGAGGCAGAGCUCUGGUGUUCCUCCUGCCCGUGGAAGAGUCAUACAUCAAUUUCCUUGCAAUUAACCAAAAAUGCCCCCUGGCGGAGAUGAAACUCUAGAAAAACACAGCUGACCUUCUGCCAAAACUCAAGUCCAUGACCCUGGCAGAAAAAUCUGUGUUUGAAAAGGGCAUGAAAGCUUUUGUGUCCUAUGUCCAGGCUUAUGCAAAGUAAGAAUGCAACCUGAUUUUCAGAUUAAAUAAUCUUGAUUUUGCAAGUCUUGCUCGAGGUUUUUCCCUGCUGAGAAUGCCCAAGAUGCCAGAAUUGAGAGGAAAGCAGUUUCCAGAUUUUGUGCCUGUGGACAUUAAUACAGACACUAUUUCAUUUAAAGAUAAAAUUAGAGAAAAGCAGAGGCAGAAAUUACUGGAGCAACAAAGGAAAGAGAAAAACAGAAAAUGAAGGGAGAAGAAAAUUCAUAAAAAAUAAAGAUUGGUCGAAGCAGAAGGCCAAAAAAGAGAAGAAGAAAAACAUGAAUGAGAUAAGGAAAAGGGAAGCAUGUUCUGAUACAAAGAUGAGGACAUGGAAGAACUUCUCAAUGAUUCAGAGCUCUUGAAAAAAAUUUUUAAAGGCAAAAUUACUGAAGAAUUUGAGAAGGACUUAUUGACAAGUGGCAAAAGAACAAUCAAGACAGCCAAUUUAAUGUCUCAGAUUUGGAAGAUGACU